GUUUGAUCCUGGCUCAGGACGAACGCUGGCGGCGUGCUUAACACAUGCAAGUCGAACGGAAAGGCCCUGCUUUUGUGGGGUGCUCGAGUGGCGAACGGGUGAGUAACACGUGAGUAACCUGCCCUUGACUUUGGGAUAACUUCAGGAAACUGGGGCUAAUACCGGAUAGGAGCUCCUGCUGCAUGGUGGGGGUUGGAAAGUUUCGGCGGUUGGGGAUGGACUCGCGGCUUAUCAGCUUGUUGGUGGGGUAGUGGCUUACCAAGGCUUUGACGGGUAGCCGGCCCGAGAGGGUGACCGGCCACAUUGGGACUGAGAUACGGCCCAGACUCCUACGGGAGGCAGCAGUGGGGAAUAUUGCACAAUGGGCGGAAGCCUGAUGCAGCAACGCCGCGUGCGGGAUGACGGCCUUCGGGUUGUAAACCGCUUUCGCCUGUGACGAAGCGUGAGUGACGGUAAUGGGUAAAGAAGCACCGGCUAACUACGUGCCAGCAGCCGCGGUGAUACGUAGGGUGCGAGCGUUGUCCGGAUUUAUUGGGCGUAAAGGGCUCGUAGGUGGUUGAUCGCGUCGGAAGUGUAAUCUUGGGGCUUAACCCUGAGCGUGCUUUCGAUACGGGUUGACUUGAGGAAGGUAGGGGAGAAUGGAAUUCCUGGUGGAGCGGUGGAAUGCGCAGAUAUCAGGAGGAACACCAGUGGCGAAAGCGGUUCUCUGGGCCUUUCCUGACGCUGAGGAGCGAAAGCGUGGGGAGCGAACAGGCUUAGAUACCCUGGUAGUCCACGCUGUAAACGGUGGGUACU
rnacentral:rRNA from 1 species